rnacentral:rRNA from 1 species
UAAUUUGACUCAACACGGGGAAACUCACUAGGGCAAGAGGGGGGUAGGAUCGACAGCCUAGCAGGGCUUUCCUGAUUCCCCCAGUGGUGGUGCAUGGUCGUUCUUAGUUCGUGGAUUGAUUUGUCUGGUCUAUUCCGCUAACGAGCGAGAACCCGCCCUUUGUGGUUGGGCCUCUGGGCACGCCUCCGGGGCUAGCUUCGUCACCGCAAGUAUGGCGGGGCAGGCGCCGGGGGCUGAAAACGCCCUUGGGCAUUCAGUCCGGAGGGACCGGCUCCGAUAAGGCGCCGGCAGCGGGUCAAUAACAGGUCAGUGAUGCCCUUAGAUGCUCUAGGCUGCACGCGCGCUACAAUGGGGCGAGCAUCGGGUCUCCUGUGCCUAACGGCGGCGGGUAAUCCGGUGAAAGCGCCCCGUAUCCGGGCUAGCGCCGUGUAAUCGGCGCUUAAACAAGGAAUUUCUAGUAGUCGCCCGUCACCAGCGGGCGACGAUUCUGUCCCUGCUCUUUGUACACACCGCCCGUCGCUCCUACCGAUUGGGCUGCAAGGUGAGUUGCCCGGAGGAGGCAGAGGUUCGUAGUGGGAUAUCAGGCGCCGAAGGGAGGCGAACCCUGCGGCCUAGAGGAAGGAGAAGUCGUAACAAGGUAU